rnacentral:lncRNA from 1 species
GGUGGAAAUAUUCCAAAAUUUAAUAUUUUGGGAUUUAUACACAAAAGAUGAACAAAUUAGAGGCCAAGAGGCUGCCGGAAGAGAAAAACGGGGCCUGGGAAGGCCGUUGUGAGGAAUGAGCUGGGCCUAAAGAGGCCACUGGCAGGCGGGAGCUGGACCUGCCGAAGUGGCCGAAAGGCAGGAGCUUUGGACUCGGGAGGCCGCAGUGAGGCGAGAGCAAGCUGGGCGUGGAGAGUCCGUUGUGAGGCCGAGGCCGAGGCCGGGCCCGUGCAGGCCUUCGAGAGGCAGGAGGUCGGGCCUGCGAAGGCCCACUGGAGGUCAAGUUCUGGGCCUGAAGAGGCCGCCAAAAGUCAAAAGCGGGGCCUGGGAAGGCCGCCGAGAGCCACGAGCUGGGCUGGGCUGAAAGAGGCCACUGGGAGGCAGGAGCUGGGCCUGGAGAGGCUGACUCGAGGAAGUUUUGCACCUGGAGAGGCCGCCGAGAGGACGGAGCUGGGCCCGGGGAGGCCGACUUGCUGCUCUUCCAGGCCCAAUUCCAGGCCAACUUGAGGAAGACUUGGGCCUGCAGAAGCCGCCGGGAAGCUGGAGCUGGGCCUCGAGAGGCCAACUUCAGGAGGAUUUGGGCCUGCAGAGGCCGCCGGGAGGCCCAAGCUGGGCCUGGAGAGGCCAACUUCGGAACCCUUUGGGCCUGCAGAGGCCGCCAUGAGGCACAGGCUGGGCCUACGGGAGCCCACUGACCGGAGGCCGUUUGGGGCCUGCAGAUGCCAUCGACAAGGCAGGAGCUGAGCCUGGAGAGGAGCACCGUGAGGAGCUGAGCUGGGGCCUGGGGACGCUUGG